rnacentral:misc_RNA from 1 species
CAUUAAGCACCCACGGUGCGCUUCCGCGGCUGGUCCGUUUCGACAGCCGUGCUUCGAUCGUCCUCCUGCUCCGGUCGGGACGUUCGAACAAGCGCUGUGCCGCCUCGGAUAGGUACGAGUACGACUGCCGCUGCUGCCGUUUCCGCAGCAUGGCAUUGAAAGUACCGCUAAUCCGAUGGCAAGGAGAGGAGCUUGCUCGACGGGACGCUGCUUCCAUGUCCUUUCGAGCAUGCUGCAAGCUACGUACGCUCGGCAAAGGCUUCCGUAGAAGCUCCGCCGAACGUUCGCUCGUUCGAUGGCAUCGUAUCGAGCGCGCGGACGCGGCAAACGUUGCUCAUUGCUGUGCUGCCAGGCUGGUUUCGAGUCUGCUGGCUCGACGGAGCCGAUCACGGUUUUGCCGAUGCUACUCAAUGCUGUUGACCUCAGAUCAAACGAGGCUAC